CUCUUCCCGUGUGGAACCCAGGGUUCAAAUGGCUGAGCGGGAAGCGCUCUAGUAGGGACUCUGGCAACUCUGUUUUCUCCUUCUCUUCCUUUUCACCCAAUAAUACCCUGUCUUACUCAUUAUUUCAAAUUGUCUAAGAGCCUGAAUUUUCGUGGCUCUAGGGCAAAGAACCCCGUCUUUAACUGAACUAAGGAAAAGUCCUACAACAUUUUUGGCACGCAACGUGGGAGCUCGAGAAGCGAAAAUGUUUUACUAAGCCAGACCCCCUGUCGGCCCUCCCGCGCACUCCUUUCCCCCAGCAAACUGUCACCCACCACACCAAACAUAUUCCAAAAUUGAC
rnacentral:lncRNA from 1 species